rnacentral:rRNA from 1 species
GAUGAACGCUGGCGGCGUGCCUAAUACAUGCGAGUCGAGCGAACAGAUGAGGAGCUUGCUCCUCUGACGUUAGCGGCGGACGGGUGAGUAACACGUGGAUAACCUACCUAUAAGACUGGGAUAACUUCGGGAAACCGGAGCUAAUACCGGAUAAUAUAUUGAACCGCAUGGUUCAAUAGUGAAAGACGGUUUUGCUGUCACUUAUAGAUGGAUCCGCGCCGCAUUAGCUAGUUGGUAGGGUAACGGCUUACCAAGGCAACGAUGCGUAGCCGACCUGAGAGGGUGAUCGGCCACACUGGAACUGAGACACGGUCCAGACUCCGACGGGAGGCAGCAGUAGGGAAUCUUCCGCAAUGGGCGAAAGCCUGACGGAGCAACGCCGCGUGAGUGAUGAAGGUCUUCGGAUCGUAAAACGCUGUUAUUAGGGAAGAACAAAUGUGUAAGUAACUAUGCACGUCUUGACGGUACCUAAUCAGAAAGCCACGGCUAACUACGU